rnacentral:rRNA from 1 species
UAAGGAAUAUUGGACAAUGGGCGCAAGCCUGAUCCAGCCAUGCCGCGUGAAGGAUGAAGGCCCUAUGGGUUGUAAACUUCUUUUAGCAGGGAAAAAACCCCCCGAUGCGUUGGGGGCUGAUGGUACCUGCAGAAUAAGCAUCGGCUAACUCCGUGCCAGCAGCCGCGGUAAUACGGAGGAUGCAAGCGUUAUCCGGAUUUAUUGGGUUUAAAGGGUGCGUAGGCGGAUGAAUAAGUCAGUGGUGAAAGCCUGCAGCUUAACUGUAGAAUUGCCAUUGAUACUGUUUAUCUUGAGUACAGCUGAGGUGGGCGGAAUAUGACAUGUAGCGGUGAAAUGCUUAGAUAUGUCAUAGAACACCGAUUGCGAAGGCAGCUCACUAAACUGUCACUGACGCUGAGGCACGAAAGCGUGGGGAGCAAA